UCAUAUAAAAGAACCGUUCUUUCGAAUUUUUCGCGCUCUCUUUAUUCUCUCUUACACUCACCUCACUCCUCAAGACCUCAACUUCGUUUCAAUUUUUCUAGAUUUGUAGAUUCUCGUUUACCCCUAACCCUAAUCCGAACCUAAUUUUGCGCUUAAAUGUCCAAUCUCGCUUGCUUGUUAUCUCAAUUGACGUAUAUAUACAAAGCCUUCCUUUUAUUUCAUGUUUAAUUAAGAGGAGAACACAGAAUUUUGGGAGAAUUGUAUAUAGUUUUUAGGUUUUCAUUUUUACUUUUUCGUUCAACUCUUUUUGGGAAAGUAUGGAAUCUGAGUUCCUUUUUAUUUUUUAGGGGGUUCUUUCGAAAAAAAUGUUUCCCCGUAUUACGAAUAAGGGUCAAUAUAUAGUAUUGUGGGAAGAAUUGUGUUCAGCUAUUUAUUUUUUCAUUCUUUUCCCUAAUUUUUGUUUUUGGGGACAUUUUAAGAUCUGGGUGUGUCUUUUUUUUUUGGGGAGGGGUUGUUAAUAAUUAUUUUGGUUGAAAUAGUUCCUUUUAUGUAAGUAAAAAAAGAAGAUGAAAAUUUGGUAGAUUGAGUGUAAUGUUGUAUAAUAGUAUUAGGGUUCAUGGCUGACCAAGGAUUGGAGGGUAGCCAACCAGUGGAUCUGACCAAGCACCCCUCUGAGAUUGUGCCUAUCCUUCACGUUUUGUUGCAGUGAUUAUGAUGAUCAGAGAACCAAAAACAACUGCCCUCAUUUUUGUAUCUGGCAAGAUGGUUUGUACUGGAGCAAAGAGUGAGCAACGGUCUAAAUUGGCUGCAAGAAAUUUAUGCAUUAUUCUUUUCUAUUUAUCAUGUAUGUUCCUGAAUAUUCCUGAAAUGGAGCUUAAAUAGACAGGUCAAAUAUGUUGUUUGUUAUAGUUUGGUUAUAACCCUGCUCAUUCUGUAGUUUGGAGUAGAAUAAAGUACUUAUUUGUCUUCAUCCUCUUUGCAUUUGCAUGAGUAUCCAUUUUCUUCUUUCUUCAUAUGGCGGGGUUAGGAAGCUCUUUAUUCCUACAAGUUUGUAUCAUUGUCUAAUUUUACAUUUUCUUCCUUCAGUAUGCUCAAAUUAUCCAGAAGCUUGGUUUUCCGGCCAAAUUUAAGGAUUUCAAGAUUUAGAAUAUUCUUAUCUCUUGUGAUGUCAAGUUCCCCAUAAGGCAGGCUUGAGGGUCUUGCAUAUUCCCAUACUGCUUUCUCAAGUGUAAGUUAUUAACCUAUUAUUUAACAAACCAGGAGUGCUAGGUAAACAAUGACCAUCUUGAACAAUAUGAACAACCACCAAUCAAA